AGCUUGCUUCAAUUGGAGGCGACCGGCGCACGGGUGAGUAAAGAGUAUUCAACCUUCCCUACAAUUAGGGAUAACCUUUUGAAAGGAAGAAUAAUACCCGAUGGUGUGAUGAGAAUGCAUGAGAAUAUCAUUAAAGGAUUAUCGGUGAUGGAUGGGGAUGCGUUCCAUUAGGUUGUAGGCGGGGUAACGGCCCACCAAGACGACGAUGGAUAGGGGUUCUGAGAGGAAGGUCCCCCACAUUGGAACUGAGACACGGUCCAAACUCCUACGGGAGGCAGCAGUGAGGAAUAUUGGUCAAUGGACGAGAGUCUGAACCAGCCAAGUAGCGUGAAGGAUGAAGGCCCUAUGGGUUGUAAACUUCUUUUAUAAGGGAAUAAAGUGUGCCACGUGUGGGAUUUUGUAUGUACCGUAUGAAUAAGGAUCGGCUGACUCCGUGCCAGGCAGCCGCGGUAAUACGGAGGAUCCGAGCGUUAUCCGGAAUUUAUUGGGUUUAAAGGGAAGCGUAGGCCGGGUCGUUAAGUCAGUUGUGAAAAGUAGGGGGUUCAAACCGUAAAAAUGGCAGUUGAAUACUG
rnacentral:rRNA from 1 species